rnacentral:rRNA from 1 species
CCUACGGGAGGCAGCAGUAGGGAAUAUUGGACAAUGGACGCAAGUCUGAUCCAGCCAUCCCGCGUGAAGGAUUAAGGCCCUAUGGGUUGUAAACUUCUUUUCUUUGGGAAUAAAAAGCGGUAUUCAUAUCGCCUUGAAGGUACCAGAGGAAUAAGCACCGGCUAACUCCGUGCCAGCAGCCGCGGUAAUACGGAGGGUGCAAGCGUUAUCCGGAUUCACUGGGUUUAAAGGGUGCGUAGGUGGCUUUGUAAGUCAGCGGUGAAAGCCUGGAGCUCAACUCCAGAAUUGCCAUUGAUACUGCAGAGCUUGAAUCAAGUUGAGGUGGAUGGAAUAUUACAUGUAGCGGUGAAAUGCUUAGAUAUGUAAUAGAACACCGAUUGCGAAGGCAGUUCACUAAGCUUGUAUUGACACUGAGGCACGAAAGCGUGGGGAUCAAACAGGAUUAGAUACCCUGGUAGUCCACGCCCUAAACGAUGCAAACUCGACAUUAGCGAUAUACAGUUAGUGUCCAAGCGAAAGCGUUAAGUUUGCCACCUGGGAAGUACGACCGCAAGGUUGAAACUUAAAUAGAAUUGACGG